rnacentral:tmRNA from 1 species
GGGGGCGAAAUAGGAUCGACGUGCCUAAUAAAAAGAUUGCUUUUACUCGGGAUGAUUCCGCCGAUGGCUUUUGCCAUAUGGGUCAAAACAAAGAAACGCAAACGAUAAUAAUCGUUCUGUAGAUUUAGCUCUAGCAGCUUAAUCCUACGCGGCUGGGGGUUUGCCGGGCAACAGAAAAACCCCACA